AGGCAGGUUGGGGCAGGGGGAAGUGCUCCGUGAGGGGGGCCUGGGAGAGAAUCAGGAGAACAGGGUACAACAGCUGGUGAGUUUUCCUUCUGAUAUAGACAAUGCCUGGAGAGCAAACUGUUACAGCUAAGAGAGAUCUUUAAGUGAAAGAAAAGGAGAAGGCUCCAUCUCAGCUUAUUAGUGUGAUCUAACAAGGUCAAGAGUACUGCUGCUUCAAGUAUUACUGUUGCUGUGUUCCCUGCAUUAUACAGAGGACUUGAAUUUCUCUAAUGUCUUGCCUGGGAAAAGCAGCUCAGUUCUCUCUGAAAAGCAAAACCCAGGACAGAAAGCGUGGAUGUGGAAGAAGGCUGGAGUGCAGUGGCGUGAUGUCCGCUCACUGCAAGCUCUGCCUCCCGGGUUCACGCCAUUCUCCUGUCUCAGCCUCCUGAGUAGCUGGGACUACAGGCGCCUGCCACCACGUCUGGCUAAUUGCUUUUAGCACUUUUUUGGGAGAGGAACAGAUGAUAAUGCAUUGCCAGGCCUUCAGUACAAAAGGUAUUAGACUCAAGAUUCUACAAGAUUCUGUUUGCGCCAGACACUGAUUAGCAGUGCAAAUAUAAAAUGAAUACAAAUAGAUCACGCAUCAGAAUGCCAAUCACUUCCUAGAAACACUGAUCAAAAUUUGCAUUAAAUCAACAGAUCUUUCUUUUAAGAUGGGUGUGGCAACAGUAAAGCUUUCUACGUGUUAAACAGAAUGAACAAAACCAACACAGAGCAGUAACUUCCUGCCAGAGAGAGCAGAAGGAGACCCUUAUAGAACAGUUGUUCCACUGGUUCAAAGGCCUCGUGUGGUUCUAUCCUUUGGACUGCCUUUCUUCAACAGCCCAGACACCUGCUCCAUCAGAUUUAUAAGCCACACCCCCUAGAGCCAUGCCAAUCAAAGCAUGGCCCGCAGACCUGUGCCAGUC
rnacentral:antisense_RNA from 1 species